rnacentral:rRNA from 1 species
GACGAACGCUGGCGGCGUGCUUAACACAUGCAAGUCGAACGGAAAGGCCCUGCUUUUGUGGGGUGCUCGAGUGGCGAACGGGUGAGUAACACGUGAGUAACCUGCCCUUGACUUUGGGAUAACUUCAGGAAACUGGGGCUAAUACCGGAUAGGAGCUCCUGCUGCAUGGUGGGGGUUGGAAAGUUUCGGCGGUUGGGGAUGGACUCGCGGCUUAUCAGCUUGUUGGUGGGGUAGUGGCUUACCAAGGCUUUGACGGGUAGCCGGCCUGAGAGGGUGACCGGCCACAUUGGGACUGAGAUACGGCGCAGAAUCCUACGGGAGGCAGCAGUGGGGAAUAUUGCACAGUGGGCGGAAGCCUGAUGCAGCAACGCCGCGUGCGGGAUGACGGCCUUCGGGUUGUAAACAGCUUUCGCCUGUGACGAAGCGUGAGUGACGGUAAUGGGUAAAGAAGCACCGGCUAACUACGUG